CCUACGGGUGGCAGCAGUGAGGAAUAUUGGUCAAUGGGCGUAAGCCUGAACCAGCCAAGCCGCGUGAGGGAUGAAGGUUCUAUGGAUCGUAAACCCCUUUUAUAAGGGAAUAAAGUGUGGGACGUGUCCUAUCAUGUAUGUACCUUAUGAAUAAGGAACGGCUAACUCCGUGCCAGCCGCAGCGGUAAUACGGAGGAUCCGAGCGUUGUGCGGAUUUAUUGGGUUUAACGGGUGCGUAGGCGGCCUUUUAAGUCAGCUGUGAAAGUCUGUGGCUCAACCAUAGAAUUGCCGUUGAAACUGGAGAGCUUGAGUAUGUUAGAGGAAGGUGGAAUGCGUGGUGUAGCGGUGAAAUGCUUAGAGAUAAUGCAGAACACCGAUGGCGAAGGCAGCCUUCUAGGCCAUGACUGACGCUGAUGCGCGAAAGCGUGGGGAUCAAACAGGAUUAGAUACCCUUGUAGUC
rnacentral:rRNA from 1 species